rnacentral:rRNA from 1 species
AACCAACGCUGGCGGCGUGCCUCAGACAUGCAAGUCGAACGAUUAAGACUUCCUUCGGGAGGUGCAUAAAGUGGCGCACGGGUGAGUAACACGUAAGUAAUCUACCCUCGAGUGGGGAAUAACGUUCGGAAACGAACGCUAAUACCGCAUAACGCAGCGGCACCGCAAGGUGACAGUUGUUAAAGGAGCAAUCCGCUUGAGGAGGAGCUUGCGGCAGAUUAGCUAGUUGGUAAGGUAAUGGCUUACCAAGGCUACGAUCUGUAUCCGGUCUAAGAGGACGGUCGGACACACUGACACUGAAUAACGGGUCGGACUCCUACGGGAGGCAGCAGUCGGGAAUUUUGGGCAAUGGGCGAAAGCCUGACCCAGCAACGCCGCGUGAAGGAUGAAGUAUUUCGGUAUGUAAACUUUGAAAGAAUGGGAAGAAUAAAUGACGGUACCAUUUAUAAGCUCCGGCUAACUACGUGCCAGCCGCCGCUGUAACAC